rnacentral:rRNA from 1 species
GUCGUAACAAGGUCUCCGUAGGUGAACCUGCGGAGGGAUCAUUACACAAAUAUGAAGGCGGGCUGGAACCUCUCGGGGUUACAGCCUUGCUGAAUUAUUCACCCUUGUCUUUUGCGUACUUCUUGUUUCCUUGGUGGGUUCGCCCACCACUAGGACAAACAUAAACCUUUUGUAAUUGCAAUCAGCGUCAGUAACAAAUUAAUAAUUACAACUUUCAACAACGGAUCUCUUGGUUCUGGCAUCGAUGAAGAACGCAGCGAAUUGCGAUAAGUAGUGUGAAUUGCAGAAUUCAGUGAAUCAUCGAAUCUUUGAACGCACAUUGCGCCCUUUGGUAUUCCAAAGGGCAUGCCUGUUCGAGCGUCAUUUGUACCCUCAAGCUUUGCUUGGUGUUGGGCGUCUUGUCUCUAGCUUUGCUGGAGACUCGCCUUAAAGUAAUUGGCAGCCGGCCUACUGGUUUCGGAGCGCAGCACAAGUCGCACUCUCUAUCAGCAAAGGUCUAGCAUCCAUUAAGCCUUUUUUUCAACUUUUGACCUCGGAUCAGG